rnacentral:rRNA from 1 species
AAAUUGAAGAGUUUGAUCAUGGCUCAGAUUGAACGCUGGCGGCAGGCCUAACACAUGCAAGUCGAACGGUAACAGGAAGCAGCUUGCUGCUUCGCUGACGAGUGGCGGACGGGUGAGUAAUGUCUGGGAAACUGCCUGAUGGAGGGGGAUAACUACUGGAAACGGUGGCUAAUACCGCAUAACGUCGCAAGACCAAAGAGGGGGACCUUCGGGCCUCUUGCCAUCAGAUGUGCCCAGAUGGGAUUAGCUUGUUGGUGGGGUAACGGCUCACCAAGGCGACGAUCCCUAGCUGGUCUGAGAGGAUGACCAGCCACACUGGAACUGAGACACGGUCCAGACUCCUACGGGAGGCAGCAGUGGGGAAUAUUGCACAAUGGGCGCAAGCCUGAUGCAGCCAUGCCGCGUGUAUGAAGAAGGCCUUCGGGUUGUAAAGUACUUUCAGCGGGGAGGAAGGUG